rnacentral:pre_miRNA from 1 species
AGUACAAUUGCUAGGUCAUAUGUUAACCACAUGUUUAGCUUUUAAGAAACUUCCAAACUGUUUUCAGAGUAGUUUUACUGUCUUACAUUCCUGGCAAU